UACGUAGGGUGCGAGCGUUGUCCGGAAUUAUUGGGCGUAAAGGGCUCGUGGGCGGUUUGUCGCGUCGGGAGUGAAAACCCAGGGCUUAACCCUGGGCUGGCUUCCGAUACGGGCAGACUAGAGGUAUGCAGGGGAGAACGGAAUUCCUGGUGUAGCGGUGAAAUGCGCAGAUAUCAGGAGGAACACCGGUGGCGAAGGCGGCUCUCUGGACGGUGACUGACGCUGAGACGCGAAAGCGUGGGGAGCAAACAGG
rnacentral:rRNA from 1 species